GACGAACGCUGGCGGCGUGCCUAACACAUGCAAGUCGAACGGACGAGAUUUCUUCGGAGAUCGAGUUAGUGGCGAACGGGUGAGUAACGCGUGAGCAACCUGCCUUUCAGAGGGGGACAACAGUUGGAAACGACUGCUAAUACCGCAUAACGCAUUCGGGGGCAUCCCCUGAAUGCCAAAGAUUUAUCGCUGAAAGAUGGGCUCGCGUCUGAUUAGAUAGUUGGUGAGGUAACGGCUCACCAAGUCGACGAUCAGUAGCCGGACUGAGAGGUUGAACGGCCACAUUGGGACUGAGAUACGGCCCAGACUCCUACGGGAGGCAGCAGUGGGGAAUAUUGGGCAAUGGGGGGAAACCCUGACCCAGCAACGCCGCGUGAAGGAAGAAGGCUUUC
rnacentral:rRNA from 1 species